rnacentral:rRNA from 1 species
UACGUAGGAGGCGAGCGUUGUCCGGAAUUACUGGGCGUAAAGCGCGCGUAGGCGGCGCGAUACGACUGGUGUGAAAGCCCCCGCUCAACCGGGGAGGGUCGCCAGUAACGGUCGUGCUGAGAGUGCAGGAGAGGAGCGUGGAACUCCGGGAGUAGCGGUGAAAUGCGUAGAGACCCGGAGGAACACCAGUGGCGAAGGCGGCGUCCUGGCCUGCGACUGACGCUGUGGCGCGAAAGCUAGGGGAGCGAACGGG